rnacentral:rRNA from 1 species
UACGGGGGGAGCAAGCGUUGUUCGGAUUUACUGGGCGUAAAGGGCGCGUAGGCGGCCACCGCAAGUCGGUUGUGAAAUCUCUGGGCUUAACCCAGAAAGGUCAACCGAUACUGCGGGGCUAGAGUGCAGAAGGGGCAACUGGAAUUCUCGGUGUAGCGGUGAAAUGCGUAGAUAUCGGGAGGAACACCAGUGGCGAAGGCGACUCACUGGCCCGUUACUGACGCUGAGGCGCGAAAGCGUGGGGAGCAAACAGG